GAGUGAAAUGAUGGCAUUUCAUCUUUCGGGACAGACCUGAUAAUGGUGACAACUUUUUAAUACUGAUCACUC